AAACUACUCCCUUCGUUCGGAAUUACUUGUCUCGAAAAUGGAUGUAUCUAGAAUUAAAAUAUGUCUAGAUACAUCCAUUUCUGCGACAAGUAAUUCCAAACGGAGGGAGUAGAAA
rnacentral:pre_miRNA from 1 species